CCUACGGGAGGCAGCAGUGGGGAAUUUUGGACAAUGGGGGCAACCCUGAUCCAGCAAUGCCGCGUGAGUGAAGAAGGCCUUCGGGUUGUAAAGCUCUUUUGUCAGGGAAGAAACGGCAGUUUCUAAUACAAGCUGCUAAUGACGGUACCUGAAGAAUAAGCACCGGCUAACUACGUGCCAGCAGCCGCGGUAAUACGUAGGGUGCAAGCGUUAAUCGGAAUUACUGGGCGUAAAGCGUGCGCAGGCGGUUAUAUAAGUCAGAUGUGAAAUCCCCGGGCUCAACCUGGGAACUGCAUUUGAGACUGUAUGGCUAGAGUGUGUCAGAGGGGGGUUAGAAUUCCACGUGUAGCAGUGAAAUGCGUAGAUAUGUGGAGGAAUACCGAUGGCGAAGGCAGCCCCCGUGGGAUAACACUGACGCUCAUGCACGAAAGCGUGGGGAGCAAACAGGUAUUAGAUACCCUGGUAGUCCACGCCCUAAACGAUGUCUACUAGUUGUCGGGUCUUAAUUGACUUGGUAACGCAGCUAACGCGUGAAGUAGACCGCGUGGGGAGUACGGUCGCAAGAUUAAACCGUCGAAAGGUAUUGACGGCUGAGACGNGACGACGACGACGACGAGGGAGGAGG
rnacentral:rRNA from 1 species